GAAGUGGUUAUGUUGCAGAUAAAUGGGUAAGAGCAUGUAUUGGAUAUAUGUAUAGAUACUUGACAUGUUUUGUCUUUAUUGCUCAUUACUGCCCAAAGAAGUAAGUGGUGAUGUCCAUUCUUUAGAUGGGGUGUGACAAUUACAGUGAUUAAAGGACUUGCUCAAAGUCAUAGCACUGAAGUGGCAGAGCUGGUAUGAAGACUCUCAACCAACUUCAAGGUCUUUGUUCCUUUCAUGCCAUUGUGCUGCCGUGUGGGUUCUGAAGUAAGUUACUGCUUAGCCCCCAAGCCUUUUGUGCUUUUGGGCUCCUUGUCCCAGUUUCGUACCAAAUCUCAAUUGUUGUUCUUCUGGAGAACUUUUACAGAAAUCUUCUGACAAGACUUGGAGAUGCUGUAGCUGACAAGCAUAUGAAAAAGGAUUAAAUAACUUGAGUUCUGGAGUGAACAGUUAAAUCCCUGAAUUGUUGAAAGUUCCAUUCUUGACCUGGGACUAACCAUUUUUUGUGAGGUGACAGGAUUCAGAUGAAACAUGACAAACUUGUAAACGCUGCAACCCGGACAUGUCCGUGCACAACUCUCCAGUGAGCUGGAUGGGAAUGGGGAGACAAACCACACAUACUGCCACACUGUGCCGGGCAGCAUGAGCUCAAAGAGAAACCCGAGGAGGAGCAAGUUCCUGCUGGCUCAGGCGCAGACAGCAAGUGAGAGCCCCCCAGUGCUGGGAAAGCCCAGGCGGCCAGAGCCUCAGCAGAGUCCACCCUGACUUUCCCUCGGCAGGCCCUGGUGCUCACUGCUCGGGACAGUGUGCUGGGCAGCCACUCGUCUAGAAGAACGAAUGAAUGAACAUCGUAUUAAACACUCCCUGAUAUUUGUUGAAGUAGAUCUCCUCAGCGUUCUUGCUAAUCAGAAUAGUAGUUCUUCAACUUUGGCAUAAGCCAGAAUCACACAGAAGGUAUGUUAAAACAGAUCAAAGGGCCCACAAACAGAGUUUCUGAUUCAGUAGGCCUGGGGUAGGGCCCAUGAAUUUGCAUUUCUAACAAGUAACAAGUAAGGUUUAUGUUGUAGAUCUGGGACCACACUGCUGCUCUAGAAGAACUUUUCACGGAUUCUCUCUGAAAUGGGUCAAAGAUCACAUCAGGUGAUCUUGAACACAAAGUAAUUUGGUAUUCACUCUGGACAUUUGAAACAAAACGACUCAAAAAGAUCCAUCAGAUUCUGAUCUAAGCAAGUGACCAAACGACCACAGAUUCCCACCUUCUUUCAUGAUCUAUUUGAUUCUUGGAGUCCUAAGGAAGAAUUUCAGAAAGGUCUUCGAACAAAUGCAAAAUGCACAGACUUCACCUAACAGUUGUUUACUGAACAUUUCUAAUUUCUGUGCCUGGCCUCGAGCUGAGUGCUGAGGGUCUCAAGACAAGCAAGACCAGGUCCCUGCCUCAGGUGCUUCAGCGCACAGACUGUGGUCAUGGGGCAGUCACUUCUAAGGGGCUCCCGACUGGUGACCGCCUAAUGAGUACCUGCUGGAUGAAUGAAUGGGGUCCAUCAAAGUAAGGAUGGCCGCUACUGGCAUCUGUGCUCCUUGUCUCAAUGGCUAAGAAGAUGCACUCAGAUCUCCUUUGUCUUUGCUUUACUUGUGCUUCUCUGCAUGAGAUAUCUGUAAUCCUAGGGUAGGAAGGUCUGGCUCGGAGGUACAUAACACCAGACAGAAAAGAAUGCAUCUUUUUUCC